UCUACCCGCUGAACGCAGAACAGCACACACUUCCUGUGCUCGCUCGGGACGGGUUGUCGAUAAACAGCGAGCACAUGCUGAGCACAAUUUUUGUCGUUUUGUCUCAUAACAAAAUGACAACAACUUUGAUUUAAAUACUAAUUUAGUUGCUUGACAUUUUGCAGUUGCCAUGUCUCUGCUAUUAAACGCUGCACAAUGAAAUACUUCACUACUCAGGGCAUUGAUGGAUUGUAUAACAGAGUUUACCACAGCCAUGUCAUGUGUGAUUUUGUCUGUCUCGUCAUUGCAUGCUGCUUAUCGGCUAUUCAAGGACCACAGAGCCUCAUCAGUGGGCUUCCUCCUGAUUGGCUUUUCCUCUGUCCUUUCAGUCUUUUCUCCCAGUAACCAAACUAUCAAAUCACUCACAAACGAUCUAGAAUGGGCAGGUGAAUCACUUGGUCCUGCUCUUAUUACUUUUGACUUCUUGUGGUUAAGUGAGGACCACGUCACUGCUCGUAUCCUCCUGAUUGGCUCUACUUUUUUCAUAAUGCUCUCUGAUUGGUUAUCAUCAGAUGGGUUGGUCAUUAUGUCACGCUGCCUGACAUUUUCCACCCUCUCCUGUUCGCUGACCGUGUGUGCGUUUGCUGAAAAUGCAGCAGGGGCAGUAGGGAGUGUUGCCCUCAGUCUGCCUUUAUUAGUUUCCCCAAGGACCAGAUCUGGGUCUUUGGGUUCCCUCGUGAUGCCUACAGAAGGACUUCUCAGAUGGAUCCUUAAAGUCAUCAUGGCAUUAGGAUGCUGGACCACUGGGAAGGCCCUUAAUAAAUACCUGUUUGAUUUAAAAGACUGGGACUGACUAAAGCAAUGGUUUCCAAAGACAACAGAGAACCACAAAAUGCUACUUUUGUACUCAGAUUAUUAUGAGGCUUACACUAAUACUAUACACUAACACUAUACUGUUGCAUGUAAAGGCCUUCUCUGUCUUAAUAAGCUAACAUUAUAUUGUAAUGUACUACAGAAACUGGAGUUUUUUUAAGUUUGUAAUCAAAUAAUGGAGUUUGCUUAUAACAUUAAAUCCAUUACAUUGACGGCUAGUAAAAUCCAUGAGCAAUGAAUAAAUUGUUUUAGCAUCUACAACAAUGAAGUCUUUGUAAAGAAAGAAUGGGACUCUUUUGUUUAAACCAGUGUUGCCAUGUUCUGUCAUUAUGAGCAACUUUGGUAAAUGUGCAUGAUACAUUUACUCAU